AUGUAUUGCAUGGCCUUACAAGCAUUUGGAAGUGAGUUAAUGGCAAAUGCGGCAAUGCGUUGCGACCACAAGCAAGCUGAGGAGAAGUGUGCUUUUGUGUCCAUCAGCCAUGACUUUGGAGAGAGGAAGUCUGUAAGCACAGUUGUCAUCAUUGCUCUAAGGAAAUACCACGCAAAACCACAAAAUGGUGUCAUCACUUAUAGAUUUCUAGAUUCAUUAUCCUAUUAUGUUGUGCCAACUUCAUAUAGGAACUCAAAAUAA
rnacentral:rRNA from 1 species